GAUUGUGUGGUGUAAUGGUAGCACGUAUCGUUGUGGAAUUCCUUAUCUUGGGAAAGCAAUAGUCCCAAUACAAUUGCGGUUUGAUUCCGUGCACAGCCA